rnacentral:tRNA from 1 species
CAAAUUAGAGCUUGAUUAGUGAAGCAUUUCAUUUACAUUGAAAGGUCUGCCGUGCAAUUCGGUUUAAUUUGA